GAUCCAGCCAUGCCGCGUGUCUGAAGAAGCCUUCGGGUUGUAAAGGACUUUUGUCAGGGAAGAAAAGGAUAGGGUUAAUACCCCUGUCUGAUGACGGUACCUGAAGAAUAAGCACCGGCUAACUACGUGCCAGCAGCCGCGGUAAUACGUAGGGUGCGAGCGUUAAUCGGAAUUACUGGGCGUAAGGCGAGCGCAGACGGUUACUUAAGCAGGAUGUGAAAUCCCCGGGCUCAACCUGGGAACUGCGUUCUGAACUGGGUGACUAGAGUGUGUCAGAGGGAGGUAGAAUUCUACGUGUAGCAGUGAAAUGCGUAGAGAUGUGGAGGAAUACCGAUGGCGAAGGCAGCCUCCUGGGAUAACACUGACGUUCAUGCUCGAAAGCGUGGGUAGCAAACAGGAUUAGAUACCCUGGUAGCCCACGCCCUAAACGAUGUCAAUUAGCUGUUGGGCCACUUGAUUGCUUAGUAGCGUAGCUAACGCCUGAAAUUGACCGCCUGGGGAGUACGGUCGCAAGAUUAAAACUCAAGGAAUUGACGGGGACCCGCACAAGCGGUGGAUGA
rnacentral:rRNA from 1 species